GACGAACGCUGGCGGCGUGCCUAAUACAUGCAAGUAGAACGCUGAAGGAGGAGCUUGCUUCUCUGGAUGAGUUGCGAACGGGUGAGUAACGCGUAGGUAACCUGCCUGGUGGCGGGGGAUAACUAUUGGAAACGAUAGCUAAUACCGCAUAAUAGUAGAUGUCGCAUGACAUUUGCUUAAAAGGUGCAAUUGCAUCACUACCAGAUGGACCUGCGUUGUAUUAGCUAGUUGGUGAGGUAACGGCUCACCAAGGCAACGAUACAUAGCCGACCUGAGAGGGUGAUCGGCCACACUGGGACUGAGACACGGCCCAGACUCCUACGGGAGGCAGCAGUAGGGAAUCUUCGGCAAUGGACGGAAGUCUGACCGAGCAACGCCGCGUGAGUGAAGAAGGUUUUCGGAUCGUAAAGCUCUGUUGUAAGAGAAGAACGAGUGUGAGAGUGGAAAGUUCACACUGUGACGGUAUCUUACCAGAAAGGGACGGCUAACUACGUG
rnacentral:rRNA from 1 species